UACAGAGGGGGCGAGCGUUGUUCGGAAUUACUGGGCGUAAAGGGCGCGUAGGCGGCCUGCUAAGUCAUACGUGAAAUCCCUCGGCUCAACCGGGGAACUGCGUGUGAUACUGGCGGGCUUGAAUUCGGGAGAGGGAUGCGGAAUUCCAGGUGUAGCGGUGAAAUGCGUAGAUAUCUGGAGGAACACCGGUGGCGAAGGCGGCAUCCUGGACCGAGAUUGACGCUGAUGCGCGAAAGCCAGGGGAGCAAACGGG
rnacentral:rRNA from 1 species